rnacentral:rRNA from 1 species
CCUACGGGUGGCAGCAGUGAGGAAUAUUGGUCAAUGGACGAGAGUCUGAACCAGCCAAGUAGCGUGAAGGAUGACUGCCCUAUGGGUUGUAAACUUCUUUUAUAUGGGAAUAAAACGUUCCACGUGUGGGAUUUUGUAUGUACCAUAUGAAUAAGGAUCGGCUAACUCCGUGCCAGCAGCCGCGGUAAAACGGAGGAUCCGAGCGUUAUCCGGAUUUAUUGGGUUUAAAGGGAGCGUAGGUGGAUUGUUAAGUCAGUUGUGAAAGUUUGCGGCUCAACCGUAAAAUUGCAGUUGAAACUGGCAGUCUUGAGUACAGUAGAGGUGGGCGGAAUUCGUGGUGUAGCGGUGAAAUGCUUAGAUAUCACGAAGAACUCCGAUUGCGAAGGCAGUUCACUGGACUGCAACUGACACUGAGGCUCGAAAGUGUGGGUAUCAAACAGGAUUAGAUACCCCAGUAGUC